rnacentral:rRNA from 1 species
CGGCGGACGGGUGAGUAACACGUGGAUAACCUACCUAUAAGACUGGGAUAACUUCGGGAAACCGGAGUUAAUACCGGAUAGUAUAUUGAACCGCAUGGUUCAAUAGUGAAAGACGGUUUUGCUGUCACUUAUAGAUGGAUCCGCGCCGCAUUAGCUAGUUGGUAAGGUAACGGCUUACCAAGGCAACGAUGCGUAGCCGACCUGAGAGGGUGAUCGGCCACACUGGAACUGAGACACGGUCCAG